UACGAAGGGGGCUAGCGUUGUUCGGAAUUACUGGGCGUAAAGCGCACGUAGGCGGACAUUUAAGUCAGGGGUGAAAUCCCAGAGCUCAACUCUGGAACUGCCUUUGAUACUGGGUGUCUUGAGUAUGGAAGAGGUGAGUGGAAUUCCGAGUGUAGAGGUGAAAUUCGUAGAUAUUCGGAGGAACACCAGUGGCGAAGGCGGCUCACUGGCCAUUACUGACGCUGAGGUGCGAAAGCGUGGGGAGCAAACAGGG
rnacentral:rRNA from 1 species